GACGAACGCUGGCGGCGUGCUUAACACAUGCAAGUCGAACGGAAAGGCCUUUUCGGAGGUACUCGAGUGGCGAACGGGUGAGUAACACGUGGGUGAUCUGCCCUGCACUCUGGGAUAAGCCUGGGAAACUGGGUCUAAUACCGGAUAGGACCGCACUUUAGUGUGUGUGGUGGAAAGUUUUUUCGGUGUAGGAUGAGCCCGCGGCCUAUCAGCUUGUUGGUGGGGUAAUGGCCUACCAAGGCGGCGACGGGUAGCCGGACUGAGAGGUUGGUCGGCCACAUUGGGACUGAGAUACGGCCCAGACUCCUACGGGAGGCAGCAGUGGGGAAUAUUGCACAAUGGGCGCAAGCCUGAUGCAGCGACGCCGCGUGGGGGAUGACGGCCUUAGGGUUGUAAACUCCUUUCGCCAGGGACGAAGCGUUUUGUGACGGUACCUGGAGAAGAAGCACCGGCUAACUACGUG
rnacentral:rRNA from 1 species